rnacentral:lncRNA from 1 species
GUGGCGGUGGUUGUCGGCUGUCCUGCCAGGAAAACUCGGCACUGACUAUCCCACUGCUGAUGCUGUAAAAGAGGUCCUUCUGCUAUGACGCAACUGUGGUUCCUCUGGUUCUGGGGACACUUAGGCCUCGCGUGCCGAUUUUCAUAGUUCCCUGUGGCUCCGAGCCGAGGGAGCCGCGGUGUGGAACGGAGGGAACCAGUGAUCUCAGUGCUGAAGAAAACAGGGAGUGUGUGUCUUCAUACUUGAUUUGCCUUACCGCAGGGGCAUAAUAUGAGAUAUCUGGGCGUGUUAAGUCGUUCUUGAUGAAAUGUGUCCUCUGUGAAUGUAGUCUCACUGUUAGACUAGGAAGAUGCUGUUUUGCUGUGCCCAGUUCCUCUUAAAAGUACAGAUGCUCCUUGGGUUGCAGCCGUAUAAACCCAUCCUAAAUAGAAAACGCGUUUUAAUACCCUUAUAAACGAAAAGGAUAAAUAAGCCUUUGGGUUCUGUAAUGUGAGCCAGCAUUCUUUGAGUGCGUAUGUGACAGGAACCAAAGAGAAGUGAAGGAAUGUGUCCAAGGGCUCCCAAGUUGGCGGUGGAAUUAGAAUUGAAGCCUCAGCUCCAAAGCCUGUGUUCUGAACUACCCGGUUGCAGUUCACAAAAUACACUUUGGCAGUACUUUCAUAACGAAAACAAAUGAUUACAACCAGUUUACAAAUGCUUUGCUUUACUGGAGGAUCGACAUGUUUGACUAAUUUUCAAAAAUAAAUCUCAGAAGCAGCAUUUUCUUGUGUUGAUAACUUUAUUACUAAUUUGUGGCACUCUGCAUUCUGUUGGAGUUAAGCCGUGUAUCAUUCCAUUUUUUAAUAAGUACAUAAUAAUGUUUAUGUAAGCAAAACUAUGAGGCAGAAUAGUAUCGUGGUAUGGACUCAGGCAGUCAGACCUGAGUGUGAAUCUUGGCUCCAUUUCUUAGUAGUGGAUAUGGCACUUCACCUCUUUUAGCUUUGUUUACUUUAGGAGUAAUAAGAUGUACCUUCCAGAAUAUUGUAGACAGCGUAGUUUGCAUGGAAUCUGA